GAUGAACGCUGGCGGCGUGCUUAACACAUGCAAGUCGAACGAUGAUGCCCAGCUUGCUGGGUGGAUUAGUGGCGAACGGGUGAGUAACACGUGAGUAACCUGCCCUUGACUCUGGGAUAAGCCUGGGAAACUGGGUCUAAUACCGGAUACGACCAUCUGGCGCAUGUCAUGGUGGUGGAAAGCUUUUGUGGUUUUGGAUGGACUCGCGGCCUAUCAGCUUGUUGGUGGGGUAAUGGCCUACCAAGGCGACGACGGGUAGCCGGCCUGAGAGGGUGACCGGCCACACUGGGACUGAGACACGGCCCAGACUCCUACGGGAGGCAGCAGUGGGGAAUAUUGCACAAUGGGCGCAAGCCUGAUGCAGCGACGCCGCGUGAGGGAUGACGGCCUUCGGGUUGUAAACCUCUUUCAGUAGGGAAGAAGCGAAAGUGACGGUACCUGCAGAAGAAGCGCCGGCUAAUUACGUG
rnacentral:rRNA from 1 species